rnacentral:tRNA from 1 species
UCCCUGGUGGCUUGGAUGAUAAAGCGUCUGUUUGCCAUGCAGGAGACCUGGGUUUGAUCCCUGGAUUGGGAA